CCUACGGGUGGCAGCAGUAGGGAAUCUUCGGCAAUGGACGAAAGUCUGACCGAGCAACGCCGCGUGAGUGAAGAAGGUUUUCGGAUCGUAAAACUCUGUUGGUAGAGAAGAACGUUGGUGAGAGUGGAAAGCUCAUCAAGUGACGGUAACUACCCAGAAAGGCACGGCUAACUACGUGCCAGCAGCCGCGGUAAUACGUAGGUGCCGAGCGUUGACCGGUUUUGUUGGGAGGAAGGCGAGCCCAGGUGGUUUAUGAAGUCUGGGGUAAAAGGCAGUGGCUCAACCACUGUCUGCAUUGGAAACUGGUAGACUUGAGUGCAGGAGAGGAAAGUGGAAUUCCAUGUGUAGCGGUGAAAUGCGUAGAUAUAUGGAGGAACACCGGUGGCGAAAGCGGCUCUCUGGCCUGUAACUGACACUGAGGCUCGAAAGCGUGGGGAGCAAACAGGAUUAGAUACCCUUGUAGUC
rnacentral:rRNA from 1 species